GUGGGGAAUCUUGCGCAAUGGGCGAAAGCCUGACGCAGCCAUGCCGCGUGAAUGAUGAAGGUCUUAGGAUUGUAAAAUUCUUUCACCGGGGACGAUAAUGACGGUACCCGGAGAAGAAGCUCCGGCUAACUUCGUGCCAGCAGCCGCGGUAAUACGAAGGGGGCUAGCGUUGCUCGGAAUUACUGGGCGUAAAGGGCGCGUAGGCGGACAGCUUAGUCAGAGGUGAAAGCCCAGGGCUCAACCUUGGAAUUGCCUUUGAUACUGGCUGUCUUGAGUUUGGGAGAGGUGGGUGGAACUCCGAGUGUAGAGGUGAAAUUCGUAGAUAUUCGGAAGAACACCAGUGGCGAAGGCGACUCACUGGCCCAAUACUGACGCUGAGGCGCGAAAGCGUGGGGAGCAAACAGGAUUAGAAACCCGGGUAGUCC
rnacentral:rRNA from 1 species